UACAGAGGGGGCGAGCGUUGUUCGGAAUUACUGGGCGUAAAGGGCGCGUAGGCGGCCCGCUAAGUCGAACGUGAAAUCCCCAGGCUCAACCUGGGAACUGCGUCCGAUACUGGCAGGCUUGAAUCCGGGAGAGGGAUGCGGAAUUCCAGGUGUAGCGGUGAAAUGCGUAGAUAUCAGGAGGAACACCGGUGGCGAAGGCGGUGGUCUGGGCCGGCACUGACGCUGAGGAGCGAAAGCGUGGGGAGCAAACAGG
rnacentral:rRNA from 1 species